CGAACGCUGGCGGCAGGCCUAACACAUGCAAGUCGAACGGACCCUUCGGGGUUAGUGGCGGACGGGUGAGUAACACGUGGGAACGUGCCUUUAGGUUCGGAAUAGCUCCUGGAAACGGGUGGUAAUGCCGAAUGUGCCCUUCGGGGAAGAUUUAUCGCCUUUAGAGCGGCCCGCGUCUGAUUAGCUAGUUGGUGGGGUAAUGGCCCUACCAAGGCUACGAUCAGUAGCUGGUCUGAGAGGAUGACCAGCCACAUUGGGACUGAGACACGGCCCAAACUCCUACGGGAGGCAGCAGUGGGGAAUAUUGGACAAUGGGCGCAAGCCUGAUCCAGCCAUGCCGCGUGAGGGAU
rnacentral:rRNA from 1 species